rnacentral:rRNA from 1 species
AUUGAACGCUGGCGGCAUGCUUUACACAUGCAAGUCGAACGGUAACAGGCCGCAAGGUGCUGACGAGUGGCGAACGGGUGAGUAAUGCAUCGGAACGUGCCCAGUCGUGGGGGAUAACGCAGCGAAAGCUGCGCUAAUACCGCAUACGAUCUCUGGAUGAAAGCGGGGGACCGAAAGGCCUCGCGCGAUUGGAGCGGCCGAUGUCAGAUUAGGUAGUUGGUGGGGUAAAGGCCCACCAAGCCAACGAUCUGUAGCUGGUCUGAGAGGACGACCAGCCACACUGGGACUGAGACACGGCCCCGACUCCUACGGGAGGCAGCAGUGGGGAAUUUUGGAAAAUGGGCGCAAGCCUGAUCCAGCAAAGCCGCGUGCAGGAAGAAGGCCUUCGGGUUGUAAACUGCUUUUGUACGGAACGAAACGGUCCGGGUUAAUACCCUGGGCUAAUGACGGUACCGUAAGAAUAAGCACCGGCUAACUACGUGCCAGCCGCCGCGGUAACAC